ensembl:miRNA
GGUCUCACUGUGUAGUUCAGGCUGGCCUUGAGCUCACUUUGUAGCCCAGGCUGGUCUCGAACUCACAAAGAUCCUCCUGCCUCUGCCUCCCGAGUGCUGGGAUUACAGGCAUGUACCACCAUGCCCG